rnacentral:misc_RNA from 1 species
AAAUGUGAGAAAUUCUUGCAUAUAUAAGUAAACCUAUCAUUAGAAGAAAUGUAAAUUUGGGAUCAGAAAUGAGUUGCAAAUCACGAUGAAAGAGAGGCACUGAAGCUCUUAGCAUUCUCAAAAGAAAUUUUGAUGGAACUCCAUUGGAAAUUAAUAGUAUUCACUAUAAUAGAUAGAAUUCCUGAUACUGAAAACUAAAACAGU